rnacentral:lncRNA from 1 species
GUUGUUUCAUUGGCACUCACACCACAUCUUCCUAUAUCUAAUAACCAAUACAACAGUGAACUACAUUUCAUUUUGGCUACAUAACCACACAAUUUGAACUUCAUGACCUGCCCCCACCCAUAAUAAAAUAUUUUAAGUGCCUUUCAACUUAGAGAUAUUGUUAAGGGAUACCCAUCAAUAAGACAGCAACCAAAAGACACACACACACACACACACACAAUAUACACCUGGUAGUUAACAAAGUCUUCAUAAAUAGACAGCUGUGUAAUGAAUGCAUUGUCAAGUCUAUUUCAUUUCAUAUUGACAGGUUGUGUACAUUAAUGUAAUCAAUUUUGGUAACAAACAUGUAUACAA